UAAUAUUUUAUUUUUACCAUUUAAAAGUCUGUUAAUUACUUAACCUGGCCCAUGUAUGACUUUACAUAUCUGUGUAUUGGUUUCAUGUUCCUCUAGAAGGUCCAACUUGACACACAACUUGAAUCCAACCAGACUGAACACUGACUCCAGGGACAGACGAGCCUGAAGGACACAGCUGUGAUGACCAUGUUCUGUCUCUUAUGGCAAAGCAGAAAUAUAAAACACUGGGUUCUUAUCUAAAGUGUAUCAAAUCAGAUCUCCACCAUGUUGCUGCUGAGGACAUCAGGUGCUGCAGUUCUUCAUCUAUGAAGAGAAAAAACGCACUGUUAAAGAAUGUUUUGUGUUGUGUAUAAAGCACAACAGAUUUCAGAUAGAACUGUUGUACUGUGGUCUUGGUUUAUAUCCUCAUGGUGAAAUGUACAUAUUUUAAGUCCCUUCUGAUAAAAGUGCUGAAAGAAAUACAACAUUGUACAAAUACAUAAAAUGUCUUUCUACCUCAUCAGUACUAUUCAAGGUGAUAAUCUCCCACAGACCUAUUGAUAACAGUCCAAAUCAAGUCUUUCCACUUCUCUCAGUGUGAAAACAUAAUUCUAUAAUUAAUUUGAGAACUGUUUACAACACUGAUGUGUGGAGAUUAAAAUCAUACCUAAACUGUCUAAUUCACUGUAAAACUCCAUGACAUUCGCAGGCCAUCUGUAGUUAAGGGAGCAACGCAUGGAGUGAUGUGUAGAUUACUAGUUUGAUGAUGCAUGAGGAGAGGCGGUGGUCGAGUGGCAGAAACUUGGACUAUGGGCAGAGAAGGUCUCUGGUUCGUCUUUGGUUCGACUCCAUGGAGAGACAACAAAAGUCGAACCUGGAUUGAUCUGUCCAAAAAUCCAAGAGUCUCCCUACCCUCUCUAGUGCCCAUGAGCAAGGCACCUCACUCCCCCAACAUCUGCUCCCCCGAGCGCCGUACAUGGUCGCUCACUGCUCUGUGUGUCCUGCACCAGAUGGGUAAAAAGCAGCGAUUAAAUUUCCCUACCUGCAUGAGUGUGCCUUUGCAUGUCUGUGCAUGUGUUUGGGAUGAAUAAAUGGAUUUUAAUCUUAA